rnacentral:rRNA from 1 species
AUACCCGUUUGCAUGUACUUUAUGAAUAAGGAUCGGCUAACUCCGUGCCAGCAGCCGCGGUAAUACGGAGGAUCCGAGCGUUAUCCGGAUUUAUUGGGUUUAAAGGGAGCGUAGAUGGAUGUUUAAGUCAGUUGUGAAAGUUUGCGGCUCAACCGUAAAAUUGCAGUUGAUACUGGAUAUCUUGAGUGCAGUUGAGGCAGGCGGAAUUCGUGGUGUAGCGGUGAAAUGCUUAGAUAUCACGAAGAACUCCGAUUGCGAAGGCAGCCUGCUAAGCUGCAACUGACAUUGAGGCUCGAAAGUGUGGGUAUCAAACAGGAUUAGAUACCCUGGUAGUCCACACGGUAAACGAUGAAUACUCGCUGUUUGCGAUAUACGGCAAGCGGCCAAGCGAAAGCGUUAAGUAUUCCACCUGGGGAGUACGCCGGCAACGGUGAAACUCAAAGGAAUUGACGGGGGCCCGCACAAGCGGAGGAACAUGUGGUUUAAUUCGAUGAUACGCGAGGAACCUUACCCGGGCUUAAAUUGCAGAUGAAUUACGGUGAAAGCCGUAAGCCGCAAGGCAUCUGUGAAGGUGCUGCAUGGUUGUCGUCAGCUCGUGCCGUGAGGUGUCGGCUUAAGUGCCAUAACGAGCGCAACCCUUGUUGUCAGUUACUAACAGGUUCCGCUGAGGACUCUGACAAGACUGCCAUCGUAAGAUGUGAGGAAGGUGGGGAUGACGUCAAAUCAGCACGGCCCUUACGUCCGGGGCUACACACGUGUUACAAUGGGGGGUACAGAGGGCCGCUACCACGCGAGUGGAUGCCAAUCCCCAAAACCUCUCUCAGUUCGGACUGGAGUCUGCAACCCGACUCCACGAAGCUGGAUUCGCUAGUAAUCGCGCAUCAGCCACGGCGCGGUGAAUACGUUCCCGGGCCUUGUACACACCGCCCGUCAAGCCAUGGGAGCCGGGGGUACCUGAAGUGCGUAACCGCGAGGAGCGCCCUAGGGUAAAACUGGUGACUGGGGCUAAGUCGUAACAAGGUAGCCGUACCGGAAGGUGCGGCUG